UUUGGUCACAAGGUAAAGGGUUAACAGUGCAAAUUUUUCUUGCUGUUUCCUCAGGGAUGCCUUUAAAAUGUGUGAAUAAGUUUCAAUCAGACUGCCCUUCCCAAAGAAAAUAACUAUAAAUGCUGGAAAAACUACAAAACAACCACCCGAAGGCACUGGUGAGUGACAAAAGCAAGCAAAUUCUGGAGAAGAGUCAACACUUGGAAGAAGGGAGCUGCACUGGGUACGUGGGGAAGGAACAGUCUCUCUGCAUGAGAAUGGCCAAAGAACAAGAUACAUUUCCCAGUGGAGAGCAAUCCUAGAGAGAGGGAAGCACGGGUCAGAAGAAGGUAUACUGAUCCCAGGAUAAUAGCAUUUAUUUCUGUUGCAUUGGUGUUUCCAAAAAAAUGCUUCAGUUCCAAGUUUCAGGAAUUGGUUGGGGGAGCAUGAGGAUCAUACAGUGAUUUGGGAGCUUCCUUGCAAGUAACUGAGUGAGCCAAUCAAAUAAUUUAUGUUUAAAUCUUUCCCUGUGUUAAAUGUUGAAAGAUAAAACAAAUGAAUUC